rnacentral:lncRNA from 1 species
GGUGACCAUCAGGUGAUGGUCAGGCAGUUGUUAACUGUCUCUCUAAAGUAAUAAUUGGCCACAGCCAGUGCCAGAGAAAGUCAGUCUACUAAUACAUGUAGAUAGGAAACACCUGAAACUGAUCAGCAGCUUCCCAGUAAGAUCUCAGGAGUGGAGAGAAGGAACGCAAGAUCCCGGAAGUAUGCCUGUGUAUAAAACCCCAAGUCAAAAGAAUAAAGCCCAAAAAUAUUAGCAUAACAUUCAGGGGACUUCGUGAUCAAGAUCCACUUUAUCUCCCCUGUGUCAUCUCUGACUGCCACCCUGUGAAGCCUUGAUUCAACUACACCGAACCACUGACAAUUCUUGAGAACAUGAAGUUAUUAAAAAGUAAAAUCUAUAGUUGGGGGCAAUAUAACUGUAGAAAAUCCAAAAAAAGGCAUUUGAAAAACAAAGUUAAUAAGCC